rnacentral:rRNA from 1 species
UACGGAGGGUGCAAGCGUUGUUCGGAAUUAUUGGGCGUAAAGCGCGCGCAGGCGGCUCGCAAAGUCCGAUGUGAAAUCCCUCGGCUCAACCGAGGACGUGCAUUGGAUACUGGCGAACUUGAGUCUCGGAGAGGGUGGCGGAAUUCCCAGUGUAGAGGUGAAAUUCGUAGAUAUUGGGAGGAACACCAGUGGCGAAGGCGGCCACCUGGACGAUGACUGACGCUGAGGCGCGAAAGCGUGGGUAGCAAACAGG